rnacentral:ncRNA from 1 species
CGUUCUCAGGGGAGGGUGAAAUUCCCCACCGGUGGUGAUUUUUAAAAUAAAAUAAGUCCACGAGCACAAUGGCAGUGUUGAUUUGGUGAGAAUCCAAAACCGACGGUUACAGUCCGGAUGAAAGAGAAG